GGGGCCGUCAUGGUUUCGACGGGGGUUGCGAAGCCGAAGACGCGUGUCCGGGAACCGUGCUUGCCGGUCAAAACGGUACGGAAACUUUAGUUGCCAACGACGAGCCUCAGCUCGCUCUGGCUGCCUGAACUGGCUCGAUAGAGUUCAUUUAGGCCGUUCGAAGGGGUGACCCCGCCUGUGGUCCCUCUUCGGGCGAAAUCGAAACAGGCUGGCGGUCCACGUCGCCUCGCCGUGGGCCGCGAGAACCCAGAGGCUAGGAAGUGACAGGGUCUGUCCGCGAGCCCUGCGCCUCCGAAAUCAACUCGCGAGACUACGCACGUAGGGUCUUCCGUGGACCAACUUCCGGACGCGGGUUCGAUUCCCGCCGGCUCCAUCU
rnacentral:tmRNA from 1 species